rnacentral:rRNA from 1 species
AGAGUUUGAUCAUGGCUCAGAUUGAACGCUGGCGGCAGGCCUAACACAUGCAAGUCGAGCGGUAGCACAGAGAGCUUGCUCUCGGGUGACGAGCGGCGGACGGGUGAGUAAUGUCUGGGAAACUGCCUGAUGGAGGGGGAUAACUACUGGAAACGGUAGCUAAUACCGCAUAACGUCGCAAGACCAAAGUGGGGGACCUUCGGGCCUCAUGCCAUCAGAUGUGCCCAGAUGGGAUUAGCUAGUAGGUGGGGUAACGGCUCACCUAGGCGACGAUCCCUAGCUGGUCUGAGAGGAUGACCAGCCACACUGGAACUGAGACACGGUCCAGACUCCUACGGGAGGCAGCAGUGGGGAAUAUUGCACAAUGGGCGCAAGCCUGAUGCAGCCAUGCCGCGUGUGUGAAGAAGGCCUUCGGGUUGUAAAGCACUUUCAGCGGGGAGGAAGGCGUUAAGGUUAAUAACCUUGGCGAUUGACGUUACCCGCAGAAGAAGCACCGGCUAACUCCGUGCCAGCAGCCGCGGUAAUACGGAGGGUGCAAGCGUUAAUCGGAAUUACUGGGCGUAAAGCGCACGCAGGCGGUCUGUCAAGUCGGAUGUGAAAUCCCCGGGCUCAACCUGGGAACUGCAUUCGAAACUGGCAGGCUAGAGUCUUGUAGAGGGGGGGUAGAAUUCCAGGUGUAGCGGUGAAAUGCGUAGAGAUCUGGAGGAAUACCGGUGGCGAAGGCGGCCCCCCUGGACAAAGACUGACGCUCAGGUGCGAAAGCGUGGGGAGCAAACAGGAUUAGAUACCCUGGUAGUCCACGCCGUAAACGAUGUCGAUUUGGAGGUUGUGCCCUUGAGGCGUGGCUUCCGGAGCUAACGCGUUAAAUCGACCGCCUGGGGAGUACGGCCGCAAGGUUAAAACUCAAAUGAAUUGACGGGGGCCCGCACAAGCGGUGGAGCAUGUGGUUUAAUUCGAUGCAACGCGAAGAACCUUACCUGGUCUUGACAUCCACAGAACUUUCCAGAGAUGGAUUGGUGCCUUCGGGAACUGUGAGACAGGUGCUGCAUGGCUGUCGUCAGCUCGUGUUGUGAAAUGUUGGGUUAAGUCCCGCAACGAGCGCAACCCUUAUCCUUUGUUGCCAGCGGUUAGGCCGGGAACUCAAAGGAGACUGCCAGUGAUAAACUGGAGGAAGGUGGGGAUGACGUCAAGUCAUCAUGGCCCUUACGACCAGGGCUACACACGUGCUACAAUGGCAUAUACAAAGAGAAGCGACCUCGCGAGAGCAAGCGGACCUCAUAAAGUAUGUCGUAGUCCGGAUUGGAGUCUGCAACUCGACUCCAUGAAGUCGGAAUCGCUAGUAAUCGUAGAUCAGAAUGCUACGGUGAAUACGUUCCCGGGCCUUGUACACACCGCCCGUCACACCAUGGGAGUGGGUUGCAAAAGAAGUAGGUAGCUUAACCUUCGGGAGGGCGCUUACCACUUUGUGAUUCAUGACUGGGGUGAAGUCGUAACAAGGUAACCGUAGGGGAACCUGCGGUUGGAUCACCU